AGAGCUCAAGAGCUCUGGGCCGUGAGCAAGCCUCCGAUAUUCUGGUCCCCUGAACCCGCCUUUUAAAUGCUUAUUCUGUCUCUUUCUAACUCCUAUGUCUCCACCAGACUCAGGGUACCCACUGGGUGGUGUGGGGCUGGUUUCCCUAACAUUCCCCACCAAAUAAAGCAGCUCCAACCUUCUAGAUGGUUGCUCAGCUCAGAAGUCUUAGAGAAAUUCUGAUGCCUCUCCUCACAUUUGCUCUGUCGGCAAAUCCUGGUGUCACAAGAGGGCUCAGGAGGGUUUCUGGAUGCCAACGAGACCCCAGCCACAGCCGGUCCCCAGAUUCUUGACAUCAUCACAAGAAAGAAUUCACAGAUCGCUUAGCUCCAUCCAACAUGGAAAGGGAUCAGACACGGGCAUCAUUGCCAGAUGAUAAUCCCUGAUGGUCAUCUUGGAUGCUGGCCACCACAGUUACAUUUGAGGUCAGCGUUGCUUCCACUGCACCUCUGAAAGUACUCAGCUCUGCCCCAAACCUGGAGAGUGCCGCAUUUCUCCAGACUGCAAGAAACAGUGUGGAUGACUCAGUGGAGAUCAUAAUGGCAUCUGAGUGAUCAACGACAGCCUCCAGUUGCCACUUGGUGAGAGAACAAAGGAACCGGGGCAUGCUCAGCUAUGGCUGCAAGCCCUUCAAGUGAAGCUGGGCACUUACCCCCUUCAUUCCAUUCUCCUCAGGAUAACAGAUUAAAAUUCCAGAAGUGUGCACCUGUUGUGUAUUCAGGAGAUUGUCGUUGUGCAUAAAGAGACCACUUGAGGCCCUGUAAGCAAAGACUAAUGGGGCUGAGUCAAAAUCUGGGAAUCUGAUGAACUAACACACUCAAAUGAAACUGAUUUGUGGGCAAGUACGAAUAGAAUAAAUGCCCUGGCGUUGUGACGACAUUGCAGUUAGUGCUUUCUUAUCCUUCAAGGUCUGCUGCCAAAACAAAGCUUUUCCAGAGGGUAUUUUUAUGAGACUGCAAGUUCUCGAAUGCAGGUGAAAGAGGGAGACAUCCUUACGUUGUCUUAGCACAGGUUUUGACCACUAAAAACAAGACUCAUGAUAAUAAUGGAUUUAGCGAGAUAAGAGUUUGUUUCUCUCUCACGUGAGUUUUCCAGCCAGUGUGGCAACUCAUUCCGUGAAGUCAUCAGGCGUGCAGGCUUCUCUCACCUUGGUGCUCUGCCAUCCCCAAGAUGCUGCCCCCAUCUGCAAGCACCAAGACGGCACCCCACUGUGUCCACAUUCUAGGCAUCAGGAUUGGGGAAAAGAGGAAGGGAGAGUAUGCCUCUCUUAAGGGCACAGUACAGAAGUUGCUCACAUCUCAUUGGUCAAAACUUAGUCACCUGGCCACACAAACUCAUAUCUGGGCUUUAUUCUAGGCAGCCCUGUGCCCAGCUAAAAAUUGAGGCCCUGGCUCCUGUUGAAUAGGGUUUCUCAACUUGAGCACUACUGGUAUUUUGGGUCAGAUAAUUAUUUAUUGCAGGGGGCUGUCCAGUUCAUUGCAGCAUAUUCAGGAGCAUCUCUGACUUUCACCUACAAGAUGCCAGCAGCAUCCCUCCAUCAAGUUGUGACAACCAAAUAUCUCCAGACUUUGUCAAAUGUCCCCUUGGAGACAAAAUUGUCUCUGAUGGAGAGCCACUCUUAUUUAAGAAGGGGAGAGUAGAGACUAGGGGACAGUUGGCCAUCCCUGCCAGAUAUAAGUUGAUAUUUUUUAUUUCUUUCCUCCUCAUGUACAGAACAGGGCGGCCAUUAGGACCACCACUUUAGAAGUAUUACUGAACAAUCAAUGCACUCACGGCUGGAUGCUCAUGAAGCCAAUACCAUGGCAAUGGCUUUGGGGAAAAGAAAAGCUUCCUUUGGGGAUUUACAAUAGCAAAAACAUGGAAUCAACCUAAAUGCCCAUCAAUGAUAGACUGGAUAAAGAAAAUGUGGUACAUAUACCACAUGGAAUAUCAUGCAGCUAUAAAAAAUAAUGAGAUCAUGUCCUUUGCAGGGACAUGAAUGGAGCUGGAGUCAAUUAUUCUUAGCAAACUAAUGCAGGAACAGAAAAUCAAAUACCACAUAUUCUCUUAUAAGUGGGAACUAAAUGAUGAGAACACAUGGACACAGAGUGGACAGAAAGAAAGAGAGAGAAAAGCUUUCCUGCAAGUUGACUGGCAAGGAGAGAGGAGGACAUGGUCAAAUCUGUCUUCCUGAGCUGGGCACUGGGUCAGGUUUUAGAAGCAUAGGGUAAUGAGGCAUAAUCUGAUUGGAUCUUGCAAUGAGGUGAUGCUGGGAGGCAUGAUCUGAUUGGAUCCUGCCAUGGGGUGACACCAGGGCUCAAUUUGAUUGGAUCCUGAAUCCUGCCAUGUGGUGUUCACUUCUUAAUUCAGUCCCCAUUCCUUGGUCUGAGAACUUAAGUUCCAUCUGUGGUUGUACAGUUGGUUCAUCUGGGCAAGCUCAGGUUAUGUGACCUUUAACCUGGGGGUUGAUACCAACUGAAAAACAACUCACAACUUUGUUACAUAAAAGUUGAACCAGAUUGGUCUGGUGUGGUUACAGAGGCCAGGUGGACUUGAAUUCAAAUUCUACCUCUGCCACUUAUGACUCUGUUUUUCUCAUACAGAAAAUCUGGUUGGGUUGCUGGGUGCAUUCAAAUGAGAUAAGUAGAAAGUGCCCAGCACAAUGCCUGGCACACAAUAUACACUCAAAAAACACUAGAUAUUAACACUGAGAUGGGUUUUGUUUGGGUGAUGGUGGAGGAGUCUUGGGGAACUUUCCUGGCGGGAAAGGAUGCUUGGGUCAUGGGAAGUUGUGCAAGAUGAGGGAGACUGAUGGUGACCACUGCUUGGCUGGGGACCAAAAGAAUUUUGGAGAGUCCAGUGAUGCUUAGAAGGUGAACAGCAAGGACAUAGGUUCUUUCUUAUAUAAAAGACAGAAUUAGGACUAGAACCAGACCCAUGAAUUACAUUUAGUGUUUUCUUCUCUAUUAUUAUACCAUGACUCUGAGUAACAAUAGCCCAGACAUUGGUUCUGGGCUGAUUAUUCUCCUACCUAUGUAGCCCUGACUUUCUGUAUCCAUUGCAUAAAACAGAAAACCUAAUCAAUGGUGUCUUUAAAAGAUAGAGUUGUCUCUCAUAUAAAAAAAUUCUGCAGGCAAGUGUCCAGGGUUGGUAUGGCAGCAAGGAUCCAGGUUCCCCUGCCUCACCAUGGUUAACAUGUGCCUUUCAACCUCAAGGUCACGGCAAAGUCACAAGUGGUCACUGCAGCUCCAGCUGUCCCCUCUGCAUGCCAAGUAGCAGGAAGGAAGAAAGAGAUGAGCAAAAGUGUGACUCUCAUCUGAGACAGCCCCCUUUUAGGGAGUUUUAGCAGAGUCUCUACCCAAUAACUUCUACUUCCACCUCUUUGGCCAGAAUGAUCUCUGAAUGGGUAAUGUAGUUUUCUAGCCCAACAUAUUGCCUCUCCCAACAUAAUCAGAGUUCCUUUGGAAGGAAUAAGGGGUAAUAAUGCAUAGGCAACUAGAAGUUUCCAUCGUACCUUCCAGGGUGGGAAUCUGUGAGUGACUAGAAGAAGAAUGAUGUGGAGAGAGAAUGAGAGAAAGCAAGAGAGAGAAGACAACAGGGGAAAGGGAAAAUUAUUGUUGAGUCCAAUUCAUUUUUGUUUUUGCUUUUGAGACAGAGUCUCGAUCUGUUGGCCAGGCUGGAGUGCAGUGGUGUGAUCGUGGCUCACUGAAACCUCGACUUUCUGGACUCAAGCAAUCCUCCCACCUCAGCCUCCCAAGUAGCUGGAACUACAGGCAUGCACCACCAUGUCUGGCUAAUUUUUUAAAUUUUUAAAAAAAUUUUUUUGUAGAGAUGGGGUCUGGCCAUGUUGCCCAGGCUGGUUGCAAACUCCUGGGCUCCAACGUUCCACCCACCUCAGCCUCCCAAAGUGCCGGGAGUACAGGCAUCAGCCACCAUGUCCAGCCUUCUUGAGUCCAAUUUUGAAGGGAGAGAUGACUUCUAGCAGGUGUUUGAAAUGGGUCUUGGAAAUUAGGUAGGAUUUGGACAAGAACCCAUGUGAGUUAGGGUUCUUUGAUUGUAGUGUUCAAGCUAAUUUUAGAAAAGAAGGAAUUUUUUGGAAAGAUAUAAGGAAGUUGCUUAAGAAAAACAUUCAAACUGACUUUUUCUCUCCUUUCACAUCGCAGACAUCAACACAGAAGACCUCUGUGACCAAAUGCGUGGGGUUUUCCCCACGACCAGGCACUGGACACGUGCUGGGUGUCCUCUAAUUCAAUUCUGACACUACCUACUUGGAGAUAGCGUCAGAUCCCACAGCUUGAAGGCUCAGUCCCCAAAACUGUCCCCUUCCCCUAGACACCAGUUGCAAGUCCAGGCCUCCAGAACUUCUGACCAAACAGCUGUAUGUUGGGGUUCCCAUGAUGCCUUCUUUGGGUUGGAUUAAUUUUCUGAAGUGGCUCACAGAACUCAGGGAAACACAUUUACUGGUUUAUUAUAAAGAAUAGAGAUGAAGAGAUGUGUAGGGCGAGGUAUAGGGGAAGGAGCAUGGAGCUUCCAUGCCUUCCCUAAGUGAGCCACCUUUCAGGAAACUCCAUGUGUUCUGUUAUCCAGAAGCUCUCCGAACCCAGUCCUCAUGUUUUUAUGGAGGCUUGAUUACAUAGGCAUGAUUGACAACCAUGUAGAAAUGUGAUUAGACAAAAGUGCAUGAUCUAUACCCAGCAAGGCCUGUCUGCUCAGACUUCUUGGCCCCUCUGUGUAGCAUUCCUUCCUCUAGGGUACGGGGCAGGACCCACUCUGGAAUGAAGGUCUUUUGACCACAAUCAGAUUAGAGUCCUACCUUAUCAGGUAAAAGGAGGACAGGAGGCCAGGCGCGGUGGCUCACACCUGUAAUCCCAGUACUUUGGGAGGCCAAGGCAGGUGGAUCAUGAGGUCAGAAGAUUCAGACCAUCCUGGCUAACACGGUGAAACACCAUCUCUACUAAAAAUACAAAAAAUUAGCUGGGCAUGGUGGCACACACCUGUAGUCCCAGCUACUCGGGAGGCUGAGGCAGGAGAAUCACUUGAACCUGGGAGGCAGAGUUCGUAGUGAGCUGAGAUUGCACCACUGCACUCCAGUCUAGGGGACAGAGGAAGACAAAAAAAAAAAGAGGACAGGAGAAGAUCAGAGAAAGAUUCUGCCUCCUAAAACCUAAAGCACCCAACAUUGUAACAAGGACUAUGGGAGUUAUGACCCAGGAGCUGUGGAUGAAAACCAACAUAUAUAAAACUGUAAUAUCACAGAAGACUAAGGAAGACUAAGGAAUUAUUUUUUUUUAAAGGUGAGGGCUGAGAGGAGGAGAGAUCUGUGUAUAGCCUUAGAUGGAACUCAUCAGGAGUCUUGUCAGUUCAAACCAUUUUGUUGUUGGUAGUGGUGUGUCCUCUACUCAAGAUUCCAAGUCCCAAGAGUGAGCAACCAACUGUCCUUACUUGGGCCAUGUGACCAGGAAAAGACACCAUGAAAUCCAUCUCUAGUUGGGUAAAGAGAUUCCCCAGGUCAGGCGUGGUGGCUCACACCAGUAAUCCCAGGCCAAGAUGGGAGGAUCACUUGAGCCCAGGAGUUUGAGCCCAGCCUGGGCAAACGAGCAAGAUGCUGUCUUUACAAAAAAAUUAAAAAAUUAGUCAGGCACAGUGGCACAUGCCUGUAGCCCCAGCUACUUGGGAGGCUAAGGCGGGAGGAUCACUUGAGCCCAGGAGGUCGAAGCUGCAGUGAACCUUGAUCACACCACUGCAUUCCAGCCUGGGAAACAGAGUGAGACACUGUCUACAAAAGAAAAAAAGAGAGAUUUCCCUAGAGGAAGUCAGAACACCGUACCAGAUGAAGGGAGAAUUAGAGGUUGUAGGGCCAGCACUACCCAAAGUCCACUAGGAGUAAUGGGAAGAGAGCUAUUCUAGACGAGGAAAGACAGGAAGAAAGUCACACAAGUUGGAGAGUGAAGGAACAUCCAGUUGACCAAGCAAGAGAGGGAGAUGAAGCUUGAAAGGUGGGUUGAAGCCAGAUUCUAGAGAUGUUUGACUACCAGCAUGAGAAAAUCCCUGUUUUUAUCUGGUGGGCCAUGGGGAGCUAUUGAAGAUUUUUGCCUGUUAGGGUAAAGUGAUCAGGUCUGAUCCAAAUAUAAAGAUUGGUCCAGGCUAGGCAUGGUGUCUCAUCCUUAUAAUCCCAACACUUUGAGAGGCCAAAGCAGGAGGAUUCUGUGAGGUCAGGAAUUCAAGACCAGCCUGGGCAACAGAGCAAGACCCUGUCUCUACAAAAAAAUAUGCCAGGCAUGGUGAUGUGUGCCUGUGAUUCCAGCUACUCAGGAGGCUGAGAUGGGAGGAUCAUCUGAGCCUGAGAGGUCAAGGCUGCAGUAAGCUAUGAUUAUGCCACUGCACUCCAGCCUGGGUGACAGGAACCCUGUAAAAAAAAAAAAAAAAAAAAAAAGAUUGCUCCAAGUUGUGGCAUAAGUGUGGGGAAGGCAAGUAUCACUCUGGGUCUCAGGGACUCAGAUGUCACCAGGCGACUCACUCUUUCUGUCUUCCCAGCCCCUCUCCCUCCUACUGGCUUCUUUCUUCCAGAUCCUUAUCUUCCUCAUGGUAGCUGAGCUCCUCAGUGCAGCUCCUGUCACCUCCUCUCGAGCCACCUGUCUCAGCUUCAUCCCCUGCUAAGCACUGAACCUUGUUCCCUUGGAUACUAAAUUGAAAAAUGCAGGAAAGUCCCCUGAUUGGCUUAGCUUAGGUCAGGUGACACCUCCAGGCCAAUCAAUGGGCGUCAAGGGAAAGGCUCUGAAAGAAGGGAGCAGGUCCCUUUUAAGCCAUGUGGUUAGUGCAAAGCCAAGGAUCAUUUCCUGGAGGGAGCCUGCUUGCUGGUUUGUGGAGAUAAAGCAGUAGAGGUCUAAGUGUCUACUAUUCGCAGGGGCUCCUUGAACACCUACUAUGUGCCAAUCACUGGGCUAAAUGGCUUAUCCCAUUUUGCCCCUUCAACAACAUUUUGAGGUCUUAUUAUUAUCCCCAUUUUGCACAUGGGCAAACUGAGUCUCAAAUAACUUAGAAUCACUUGUCUAGGUCAGGUAGCCAGUUUCAAUGGCAGAGCAGGGAUGCAACCCCAGUCUUUCUGGCACCAGAGCAUGAGCUCUUAACCAUAUUAUUCUGCCAAAGAUCCAACUUGGGGCCUCAUUUUCCCACCCAGGAAGGUAUUUGGCAGGGUCACCAGUAGCCAUUUUGGUGCCUUUUUUUAAAUUAGUAAAACCUCCCCUUCUUCAAGACACUUUACUGCCAUCUGCUGAAAAUUGCCAAAGUAAGUACAGUACACAAAUCUAUAAUGCAGUGAUGUAAACAGUGCCCCUUUAGACUGAGACUCUGGGUCAGUCUAAGGGCCAGUUUUUCACAGUUGGGCAGGUUGUGUACUGUACCAGGGCUAACAUGGUGCAGUGCACAACCUGCUCAACUGUGAGCCUUAGCUUUGAUACAGGAAGUAGAAGCUGCAGCCAGGAGUUUAUUGAAUAGCAAAGACUAACACGAAUUAUCUGGAAUCAUGAAUUCUGUGGCCUCUGGAAUAGGGUGAUGUUUUGGGAUGUCUGGAGCUGAUAGGUCUGGGCUGAAAAGGACCAGGUCGAUGGAGAUGCCAAGCAUUUAUUUGUUUUGUUUCUUCUCACUCCUAUGUCGGGUCUUUGCCUUUUGGUGCUUGGCCACUGGAGUGGGUGGCUCCAUAAGAUGACUCUUGGAUGGUUUCAGGCUCUUCCUGGACACCCAGGACUGGUCCAUGAGCUUGGGCUCAGCUGGGAAAUCCUCAGGGAGAUAGACAUCUGUGGCCUCUGAGAUUGAUAAGGGUAACUGGGGCUCUGGGGCCUGUAGCUGCUCUGGUGGGAGGGGGCAGAGGUCAAGGCAGUAGAAAGAUCUAGGCUCAAAAGUGCUGGGCCUAGCCUUCUUGGGGGGCUUCUUGGCCAGAUUCCUGAGGGGGUCUUUGGUCUUGUUUAAAGACAUCUUGAGUUUUUUGGCCUUGGAAGUCUUGGAGUGCCUGAGAGACUUUUGAGGUUUCUGGGGAAGGCUGGAACACUUUGUCUGGAGUAUUCAUGCCAUAGGUCAUUGGAACUCUCCAGCAGGAUGGAGAGUAACAGGAAACUGUCUUGGAUGUCAUGUCUGGGAUGCCUGGGGGGAGCCUGUGACAAGCUUGAUGGUCUGGGUCCAGGUAAGGGCAGCAUUGAGCAGUGCCCAGAGGCAGUGGGCUUACUGGUGGCUGGAGCAGUACCAGAGGUCCUCUGCGAAGGAGGUCACCGCAGUGACCUCACAGGCUGUCCUGUUCCUACAUAGCAAGGGCAAUUCAUGAGACUGGGGUGGGAAUUCUAGAGAAAAUAUCUUAGAAAAAAGGUCUUCUAUUAUAUAAUCACAUUUUUCAUUUAAUCAUUCAUCUACGCAUUGAUGUAUUCACUUGUUUGUUUAUUUCAUUCAGUCACCCAGCCAUCUACCCACUCAUCCAUUGACUUAUUACUUGCAUGGUAACCCACACCAUUCAUUCAUUCAUUCUACUUCACUCACGCACUCAUACCUUCAUUCAUUAAUUCAGCAAAUACUUGCGCUGUUGGAGUUGGAGAUACCAACACCAAAAAUAACAGCAAACAUCUACAUAGUGUUAAGUGUGUGCCAGCUACUGUUCUAGGUGCUUUAGAUUCGACUUAAGCUUUCCAAAAACCUCCUGAAGGUGUUUGUUAUGGAAUUAAUGUUUCUAGUCCCUUCUCAAAUUCAUAUGUUGAAGCCCUAACCCCUAAGGUGAUGAUAUUUGGAGGUGGAUCCUUUUGGAGGUAAUUAAGUUUAGAUGAGGUCAUGAGAGUAGGUCUCCUAUAAGGGGAUUAAUGUCUUAAUAAGAAGAGAAUUCUCUUCUUAAUAAGAAGAGAAUGAGAGACCAGAGCGUGUGAUCAUUUUCUCUCUCUCUCUCUCUCCCCCCUCCCUCUCUCUUUCUCUCUCUCUCUCCUCUGUGCCAUAUGAG
rnacentral:lncRNA from 1 species